AGGAAGUAAAAGUCGUAACAAGGUUUCCGUAGGUGAACCUGCGGAAGGAUCAUUACAGUAGUCACCCGGGUUGCCGCAAGGCCUCUCGGGUAACCUACCACCCUUUGUUUAUUACACUUUGUUGCUUUGGCAGGCCUGCCUUCGGGCUGCUGGCUCCGGCCGGCGAGCGCUUGCCAGAGGAUCUAAACUCUGUUUGUCUAUACUGUCUGAGUACUAUAUAAUAGUUAAAACUUUCAACAACGGAUCUCUUGGUUCUGGCAUCGAUGAAGAACGCAGCGAAAUGCGAUAAGUAAUGUGAAUUGCAGAAUUCAGUGAAUCAUCGAAUCUUUGAACGCACAUUGCGCCCCCUGGUAUUCCGGGGGGCAUGCCUGUCCGAGCGUCAUUACAACCCUCAAGCUCUGCUUGGUGUUGGGCCCCGCCGCCCCGGCGGGCCCUAAAGUCAGUGGCGGUGCCAUCCGGCUCCGAGCGUAGUAAUUCUUCUCGCUCUGGAGGUCCGGUUGUGUGCUUGCCAUCAACCCCCAAUUUUUUUCAGGUUGACCUCGGAUCAGGUAGGGAUACCCGCUGAACUUAAGCAUA
rnacentral:rRNA from 1 species